CCUACGGGCGGCAGCAGUGGGGAAUAUUGGACAAUGGGCGAAAGCCUGAUCCAGCCAUGCCGCGUGUAUGAAGAAGGCCUUCGGGUUGUAAAGCACUUUCAGUGGGGAAGAAAGCCUUGGGGCUAAUACCCUCGAGGAAGGACAUCACCCACAGAAGAAGCACCGGCUAACUCCGUGCCAGCAGCCGCGGUAAUACGGAGGGUGCGAGCGUUAAUCGGAAUUACUGGGCGUAAAGCGCGCGUAGGCGGUCUGAUAAGCCGGUUGUGAAAGCCCCGGGCUCAACCUGGGAACGGCAUCCGGAACUGUCAGGCUAGAGUGCAGGAGAGGAAGGUAGAAUUCCCGGUGUAGCGGUGAAAUGCGUAGAGAUCGGGAGGAAUACCAGUGGCGAAGGCGGCCUUCUGGACUGACACUGACGCUGAGGUGCGAAAGCGUGGGUAGCAAACAGGAUUAGAUACCCGAGUAGUC
rnacentral:rRNA from 1 species